GGCAGAGAUGCCUGUUUUCACGAUGGACUUCAGAUGCCUGCUACAGGCACUGCUGAGCAACCCACUUGGCACAACUGAUGCCAGAAG
ensembl:snoRNA SNORD35B small nucleolar RNA, C/D box 35B